ACACAUUAUUAUUAGUGAGAAUUCUGGCAUUUAAAAGUUCGUUAAGGCACAAAUUCUUAAAUCUAAACGCAGGUCACAGGAAGGUCAAAAGGUCAUUACAGGUCACAGGAAGGUCAAAUAUGGCAAAAAAGGUCAUUACAGGUCACAGGAAGGUCAAAUAUGUCCAAAAAAGGUCAUUACAGGUCAAAAAAUGAGGCAAACAAGGUCAUUACAGGUCAAUUGAAGGUCAAAUAUGUCAAAAAAGGUCAUUACAGGUCAAAAUUGUGACAAAGAAGGUCAUUACAGGUCAAUUGAAGGUCAGGAGGUCAAGUUUAAGGUCAAUU